GGGUGGAUACCGAAGCGGUCAAACGGGACAGACUGUAAAUCUGUUGGCUUACGCCUUCGUUGGUUCGAUCCCAACUCCACCCA
rnacentral:tRNA from 1 species